AGAGACGCUUUUGUAGCCAUGUUUGUUGUGGGCAGGCGCCUGAGGCUGACGGCUGGCGAGCUGGGCACCGCGGUGCGCUGAAGCUAGAGAUUCCGAAAGGGAGAUCGGGCAGUUCGCUCCGGAGACGUCUGAGAAGAGGGGUUGCUCCCGUGAUCCUAGGCCUAGCUGUUUCCCAUAUUCCUUUAUCCACCUGCGUUUGAAGGAGACCAGACUCCGGCUCCGCCCGGCCCUGUGCCGGGUGGUCUGCGGCCCCGAGUCCUUGACCAAGCCCUCCGAGUGAUCAGCCUGCCCUCGGGUGCACCCGCGGUUCCCAACGUGGGGGACCCCCCCAUCUGCAAAGCCAGUGUCCUCAAGAUCGCUCUGGGAAAAGGGAAGGAUGCCACUCUUCUUCCGGAAGCGGAAACCCAGUGAGGAGGCUCGGAAACGCCUGGAGUACCAGAUGUGUUUGGCAAAAGAAGCUGGGGCAGAUGACAUUCUCGACAUCUCUAAAUGUGAGCUCUCAGAGAUUCCAUUUGGAGCUUUUGCAACAUGCAAAGUUCUGCAGAAGAAGGUGCUGAUCGUCCACACGAAUCACCUCACUUCCCUGCUUCCCAAAUCCUGCAGCCUCCUGAGUCUGGCAACCAUCAAGGUUCUAGAUCUCCACGAUAAUCAGCUGACAGCCCUUCCUGACGAUCUGGGGCAGCUGACUGCCCUCCAGGUCUUAAACGUGGAAAGGAAUCAACUGAUGCAGCUCCCGCGUUCCAUUGGGAACCUGACCCAGCUCCAGACUCUCAAUGUUAAAGACAACAAGCUGAAGGAGCUUCCAGACACCCUGGGGGAGCUUCGAAGCCUGCGUACCCUCAACAUCAGUGGAAACGAGAUCCAGAGGUUGCCGCAGAUGCUGGCUCACGUUCGAACCCUGGAGAUGCUGAGCCUCGACGCCUCGGCCAUGGUCUACCCACCGCGGGAGGUGUGUGGUGCCGGCACCGCGGCCAUCCUGCAGUUCCUCUGCAAAGAGUCAGGGCUGGAAUACUACCCCCCUUCUCAGUACUUGCUGCCUGUUCUGGAGCAAGAUGGAACCGAGAACUCUCGGGACAGCCCCGAUGGGCCCACGGACAGAUUCUCAAGGGAGGAAUUAGAGUGGCAGAACAGGUUCUCAGACUAUGAGAAGAGGAAGGAACAGAAGAUGCUGGAGAAACUCGAGUUCGAACGGCGCCUGGAACUGGGGCAGCGGGAGCACGCCCAGCUCCUUCAGCAGAGCAGCAGCCAGAAGGAUGAGAUCCUUCAGACAGUCAAGGAGGAGCAGUCCCGGCUGGAGCAGGGCCUGAGUGAGCGCCAGCGCCACCUCGACGCAGAGCGGCAGCGGCUGCAGGAGCAGCUGAAGCAGACAGAACAGAACAUCUCCAGCCGGAUCCAGAAGCUGCUGCAGGAGAAUCAGAGACAAAAGAAAAGCUCCGAGAUUUUGAAAUCGCUGGAAAAUGAAAGAAUAAGAAUGGAACAGUUGAUGUCCAUAACCCAGGAGGAGACUGAGAACCUGCGGCGACGUGAGGUUGCCUCCGCCAUGCAGCAGAUGCUGACUGAGAGCUGUAAGAACCGGCUCAUCCAGAUGGCCUAUGAAUCUCAGAGGCAGAACUUGGUCCAGCAGGCCUGUUCCAGCAUGGCCGAAAUGGAUGAACGAUUCCAGCAGAUUCUGUCGUGGCAGCAAAUGGAUCAGAACAAAGCCAUCAGCCAGAUCCUGCAGGAGAGUGCGAUGCAGAAGGCUGCGUUCGAGGCACUUCAAGUGAAGAAAGACCUGAUGCAUCGGCAGAUCAGGAGCCAGAUUAAGUUAAUAGAAACUGAGUUAUUGCAGCUGACACAGCUGGAGUUAAAGAGGAAGUCCCUGGACACAGAGACACUCCAGGAGAUGAUCUCGGAGCAGCGCUGGGCCCUCAGCUCCCUGCUCCAGCAGCUGCUCAAAGAGAAGCAGCAGCGAGAGGAAGAGCUCCGGGAAAUCCUGACGGAGUUAGAAGCCAAAAGUGAAACGAGGCAGGAAAAUUACUGGCUGAUUCAGUAUCAACGGCUUUUGAACCAGAAGCCCUUGUCCUUGAAGCUGCAAGAAGACGGCAUGGAGCGCCAGCUGGUGGCCCUCCUAGAGGAGCUGUCGGCUGAGCACUACCUGCCCAUCUUUGCGCACCACCGCCUCUCACUGGACCUGCUGAGCCAAAUGAGCCCCGGGGACCUGGCCAAGGUGGGCGUCUCAGAAGCUGGCCUGCAGCAUGAGAUCCUCCGGAGAGUCCAGGAACUGCUGGAUGCAGCCAGGAUCCAGCCAGGUACCAGCACAGUUCUGGCCUCUUCCGGACAGGGCGCCCAGCCGUAUGUGUGGGCUCUGGUGGGGACAGUCAUUUGCUUACAUUUCAGGAUGAGUCCUGAGGGCUGGUUCUAGCCCCUGCUGGUCGGUAAGGUUCCCUCCCAAGGACCAGGCUUAGGGAUCAGUGAGCCCGUUUUACAGAUGGGAAAAACUGGCCACCAAAUUGGGAGAACAGGAGACCUCCACAUAGCAGUGGAGGGGCCCUCCCAGCUCCCUGUCCCAUAGCCUUCCCUCAGUUCACCCUACAGAUGCUGGGAUCCACACACUGAGGGACUUUGGACUAGAGGGAGAAAUAGCCCGUCCCAGGGCCUGCAGUGUGCCCAGUGCUGGGCCUGAGGCACACCUGUGGAUGUGGAGCGAUGUCCACAACAGGCUGUGAAGGGGCGAAGGCAGGUCGUGAGGGCCAUGGGGAGAACGGGCAGGUGUGGAGUCUGGGGUCUGCCAUGUGCUGAGCAUGACCCGGGGGCCCGGCACCUGCUCACUGCUGUGCAUGAACCACGUUGCGGAACCUCCGGAUCAACCCCGCGAGGAGGCACUGUUGUGGUCCUCAUUUUCAAGAUGAGGAAACUGAAGUGGAGAGAGGUUAGCAUGUCCCCCGUCAGGUCCCACUGCUGGCAAAUGGUGGAACCACUGGGCUUGACUGCCUCCCUGGGGAAGAGGUGGGGGGCCAGAGCAGGGGUGAAGGAGAGGGCAGGCUUGUGCUGCUGGGCUAGGCGAGGCUCUGGGCAGGGCAUUUUUAGCCAGAGCCAAGGAAGAGGCAAAGGAGCUGAGGCAAAGGUGGCGUUCUGGACUGGACCUCAGUGGGGAGGCCCCGGGGCUCCAGGGGGCUGGGCUGACUGCAGCUCCAGGAUAGCUUCAGGCACCAGUUUUGCAGCCACUUUUACUCCAGGGACAUUGACUCAACCCCCAAAAAGUCAUUAAACUUCUUAUGUGCAGAAUAGACCCCUGCUGGAUGUUCCUGACCCUCCAGCUCUCAGACUGGAGAUCAGAAGAGAUUUCCAUCAGGAGUUGGGGUCACCCCUGGCAGACAAGCCUCACAGCUGAAACCACCAACAGGUGAGGUCCUCACCCCUACAGCCCCCCAGGAGCCUCCUGAGUCUGUGAGGCCAUCCGCUCCCCCUGCAGAGCUGGAGGUGCAGGCCUCAGAGUGUGUCGUGUGCCUGGAACGGGAGG